rnacentral:rRNA from 1 species
CACGUAGGGCGCAAGCGUUGUCCGGAAUUAUUGGGCGUAAAGAGCUCGUAGGCGGUCUGUUGCGUCCGCUGUGAAAACUCGGGGCUUAACCCCGAGCCUGCAGUGGAUACGGGCAGACUAGAGUGCGGUAGGGGAGAUUGGAAUUCCUGGUGUAGCGGUGGAAUGCGCAGAUAUCAGGAGGAACACCAAUGGCGAAGGCAGAUCUCUGGGCCGGUACUGACGCUGAGACGCGAAAGCGUGGGGAGCGAACAGG